rnacentral:rRNA from 1 species
UACGAAGGGGGCUAGCGUUGUUCGGAAUUACUGGGCGUAAAGCGCACGUAGGCGGAUAUUUAAGUCAGGGGUGAAAUCCCGCAGCUCAACUGCGGAACUGCCUUUGAUACUGGGUAUCGCGAGUAUGGAAGAGGUGAGUGGAAUUCCGAGUGGAGAGGUGAAAUUCGUAGAUCGUCGGAGGAACACCAGUGGCGAAGGCGGCGCACUGGUACAUUACUGACGCUGAGGUGCGCAAUCGUGGGGAGCCAACAGGAUUAGAUACCCGGGUAGUCC